ACUGUAGAACAAUACAAAUAAUAAACCGUAACAGCUAUUUCGUUAUAGACAAUUUUUAAUUUAGUAAUAAGAUAUAUGGAAGUAGUAACAAAAUACCAAUAUUUAGAUAUUUCAAUAAUGUACAAAAAAUAAACCGAGAAUCAUCAAAGUAAAAGAUAUUAUAAUAAACUUUAAAAUUCUAGCCAAAAAUGCAAGCUGUAUUCCCAUAUAAAACAUAAAUGUUGAAUUAACAUAUAAAAAACGUUGUAUGCAAUAUUGAAAAUGUUAAAUCGGCAUUUCAAAACAUAGAUUCAAUAUAAAAAGACAUUAAUAAAAACAUCAAUAUAUGUUAUUGAAUUGAAUAAAAUAUCCGUUGAAUGUCUUAGGCCCGGUUACAAUUAGAGAUUACAAUAUUUAGAAACAUUAUUCAAUAUUGAUUCAAUAUUUAUUCAAUGCAUAUGCAAUGUAGAGUUCAUAUACGUGCAUUAAGUUGUUAAAAACACUGAAUAGAACAAAUGUAUAAAAUUAAUUCUUAAAAUUCUAGAAAAAGUUUAAAAAAUAAUAUUAAUAACACUUCAACACUAAAGAUAUGGAUUAAAUUUGAAAGGACAUUUUUUGUAGAUUUUUGGUCGCUUAUUAAUUCAAAUCUGGCGGUAAAAUUGUUCUAUCACAUUAGGUUUCUGAAAAAAUUGAGAUUAUAUGUGCUAAAAA